rnacentral:misc_RNA from 1 species
GGUUGGAUCAUUAAUAAAAUUUUUAGCCUGGGAGUUUUAUUUCUCCUAGUCGCUAUUCAUUUUUUGUGCACUUUAAAUUGUAUCGCCCUUCUGUAUAUUUCUUUGCCCUAAUUACAGGGUAGGAAGUGUUUGGGGGGGAAUUUUGAAAACUUUUGUAAUAAAUUCCUAGCCUAAAAAAAGUUGAAUUUUCGAAUUCUAAUAAAAUUUUAUAAACAACUUUUGACAACGGAUCUCUAGGCUCUCGUAACGAUGAAGAACGCAGCGAAAUGCGAUAAGUAAUGUGAAUUGCAGAAUUCCGUGAAUCAUUAAAUCUUUGAACGCACAUUGCGCUCGCUGGUAUUCCGGCGAGCAUGUCUGUUUGAGAAUCAGUUUAAUUUAUCAAAAAUUUUUCUUGGUGCAUCAGCAUCUGGAUUAGGCUUUGGAUUUGGAACGUAUUAGUGGUUUUACUACUGAUCGAUCUUUAAAAUAUUUGUUGCCUAAAUUUUAUCCUAGUCGAUAACGCUGGAAGGCAUUACCAAGGGACGCAAGUUCUAAGAAGUGCUGAUAAAGGCUGAAGGUUAGGACGGGUAAACACUAAAAAUUGAACACGAAGCUUUUUUAAUAAAAAAACUUUAAGACUUGAUCUCAAAUCAGAUAAGACUACCCGCUGAACUUAAGCAUAUCAAUAAGCGGAGGAAAAGAAACUAACAAGGAUUCCCCUAGUAACGGCGAGUGAAGCGGGAAUAGCUCAAAUUUAAAAUCUCAGACUUUGUCUGCGAGUUGUAGUUUAAAGAAGUGUUUUCGGCGUUGAACCAGGACUAAGUUCCUUGGGAUGGGGCAUCAUAGAAGGUGAGAAUCCUGUAUGGUUCUGUGUUCAAUGCUAUGUGAUACAUUUUCAAAGAGUCGGGUUGUUUGGGAAUGCAGCCCAAAAUGGGUGGUAAAUACCAUCUAAAGCUAAAUAUUGACGAGAGACCGAUAGCGAACAAGUACCGUGAGGGAAAGAUGAAAAGAACUUUGAAAAGAGAGUUAAAAGUACGUGAAAUUGUCAAAAGGGAAACACUUGAAACCAGUCUUGCGGUAGGAAUCCCAACUAGUCUAACGAUUAGCACACGUUUCCUGCUGCAGGUCAACAUCAGUUUGACUUGGAGUAAAAAGCUUGAGGAAGGUGGCCCCUUUUGGGGUGUUAUAGCCUCAAGUGAUGCUCUGGGUUGGACUGAGGAAUGCAGUGCAGUCUUGGGUGCCCCGUCGCUGGUUGAAUUAUUCUGCAGACAACUUGUUGAUUGUGGAGGAGCUAAGGCCAAUCGGUGGGAUGCAUCACACCUGUGCUUAGGAUGUUGACAUAAUGGUUUUAAAUGACCCGUCUUGAAACACGGACCAAGGAGUCUAACACUUAUGCGAGUUUUUGGGUGGUAAACCCGGGAAGCGUAAUGAAAGUAGUAAGGUUGGAACCUUCGGGUGCACAAUCGACCGGUCUGGAUAUUUUUUGAUAGAUCUGAGUAAGAGCAUAAUUGUUAGGACCCGAAAGAUGGUGAACUAUGCCUGAAUAGGGUGAAGCCAGGGGAAACCCUGGUGGAGGCUCGUAGCGAUUCUGACGUGCAAAUCGAUCGUCAAAUUUGGGUAUAGGGGCGAAAGACUAAUCGAACCAUCUAGUAGCUGGUUCCCUC